CCUACGGGAGGCAGCAGUGAGGAAUAUUGGUCAAUGGACGCAAGUCUGAACCAGCCAAGUAGCGUGCAGGAUGACGGUCCUCCGGUUUGUAAACUGCUUUUAGUUGGGAAUAAAAAGUGGCUCUUGCGCCCCGAUUUGUAUGUACCAACAGAAAAAGGACCGGCUAAUUCCGCGCCAGCAGCCGCGGUUAUUCGGAAGGGCCGGGCGUUAUCCGGAUUUAUUGGGUUUAAAGGGGUCGUAGGCCGGCGUUUAAGUCAGCUGUGAAACUCCGGGGGUCAACCGUGGAAUUGCAGUUGAAACUGGAGGACUUGAGUGCACACAGGGAUGCCGGAA
rnacentral:rRNA from 1 species